rnacentral:rRNA from 1 species
GACGAACGCUGGCGGCGUGCCUAAUACAUGCAAGUCGAACGCAGUGGGGACGGGUGAGUAACCCGUGGGUAACCUCCCAUCAGAGGGGAUAACACUUGGAAUCAGGUGCUAAACCGAUACUGAUGGAUGGUCGCGCGGUGCAUUAGCUAGUUGGUAAGGUAACGGCUUACCAAGGCCACGAUCCAUAGCCGGCCGGAGAGGGUGAUCGGCCACACUGGGACUGAGACACGGCCCAGACUCCUACGGGAGGCAGCAGUGGGGAAUAUUCGGCAAUGGACGAAAGCCUGACCGAGCAACGCCGCGUGAGUGAAGAAGGUCUUAGGAUCGUAAAGCACUGUUGUUAGAGAGGCGUUAUCUAAAGAGGAAGCCACGGCUAACUCCGUGCCAGCAGCCGCGGUAAUAC